CAUGCAAUCUUAGCCUGUAGUACAGGCAUUCAUGAAGAGCACUAUGUAAGUGAAGCUGUGGUAAACAAUGUGUCAGACUGCAGGGAAUACAGAGAUGCUGGCACCAUUACUGGACUCAAGGCGGUGUACAGUCAAGAAAAAUAUAGACACACAAACAUCAUAAUUGACUAUUGGAUUAUGGAUUGGAAAGACUGGAAGAACUUAGUGGACUAACCUGGACAAAUUUGGACUUGGACUAUUAAUGUUAUUUAAUAGAAUAUUCUAAGAGGCAAAAGAAGAAAAGUUCAGAAGAAAAGAGAGAAGAAGGAAAUAAAAGUUUAAAAUUUGGACAAUUAGGGAACUAUAAGGCUGUAAACUAUUAUGAAAUAAAAUGUGGGGUUUUGUAAGUA